AGGACGAACGCUGGCGGCGUGCUUAACACAUGCAAGUCGAGCGGUAAGGCCUUUCGGGGUACACGAGCGGCGAACGGGUGAGUAACACGUGGGUGAUCUGCCCUGCACUUCGGGAUAAGCCUGGGAAACUGGGUCUAAUACCGGAUAUGACCUCCUAUCGCAUGGUGGGUGGUGGAAAGAUUUAUCGGUGCAGGAUGGGCCCGCGGCCUAUCAGCUUGUUGGUGGGGUAAUGGCCUACCAAGGCGACGACGGGUAGCCGACCUGAGAGGGUGACCGGCCACACUGGGACUGAGACACGGCCCAGACUCCUACGGGAGGCAGCAGUGGGGAAUAUUGCACAAUGGGCGAAAGCCUGAUGCAGCGACGCCGCGUGAGGAUGACGGCCUUCGGGUGUAAACCUCUUUCAGCAGGACGAAGCGCAAGUGACGGUACUGCAGAAGAGCACGGCUAACACGUGCCAGCAGCCGC
rnacentral:rRNA from 1 species